rnacentral:tRNA from 1 species
CAAAUUAAAGUUCUGUUAGAGAACAUUUCAUUUACACUGAUAAGGAUACUGUGCAACUCAGUUUAAUUUGA